rnacentral:rRNA from 1 species
AUUGAACGCUGGCGGCAGGCUUAACACAUGCAAGUCGGACGGUAACAGGUCUUUCGGGAUGCUGACGAGUGGCGGACGGGUGAGUAAUGCUUGGGAAUCUGUUUGUUAGUGGGGGAUAACUCGGGGAAACCAGGGCUAAUACCGCAUACGUCUUUAGGGGGAAAGCAGGGGAUCGUAAGACCUUGCGCUAAUGAGUGAGCCCAAGUCGGAUUAGUUUGUUGGUGAGGUAAAGGCUCACCAAGACUGCGAUCCGUAGCUGGUCUGAGAGGAUGAUCAGCCACACUGGGACUGAGACACGGCCCAGACUCCUACGGGAGGCAGCAGUGGGGAAUAUUGGACAAUGGGCGCAAGCCUGAUCCAGUCAUGCCGCGUGUGUGAAGAAGGUCUUAUGAUUGUAAAGCACUUUAAGUCAGGAGGAAGGUGCGAGGGCUAAUAUCUCUUGUGAUUGACGUUAC